rnacentral:lncRNA from 1 species
AGGAUUUAAAGGAAUACAGGUUCAAACCGUAGAAGUAAAACAUUCUAGACCUUACAAAUCCUUUAAAUCCUUAAGGAACAAUAAGGAUUUAAAGGAUUAUCAGGAUAAAGUGGGAAUAUACAAAAUCCCCUUCAGAAACAAUAGUGUAAACAGAAAUGAAAUCUAUAUUGGUGCAACAGCUAGAUUUAAAAGAGAGGAUAAAAGAACACAAACAAGAUAUUAAGAAUGCAUGCCUAAACACAGCACUAGCCAAAUCUGCAUACUACAAGACCUAGAUAUCAAAUGGGAAGAAUCUAGAAUAAUCAAACAGGUUGAGACUCCUGAAGAUUUGUCUAUUGCCGAAACUGUCCAAAUUUAUAGAAACUGGCAAGAUGUUUUUGUGGUAAAUGACAGACAACUGACUCAAUACAGAAGCCAUGGGAAUACUUAUUAAGCAGCCAUAUUCCUCGUUAAACCUUUUAAAAGAAACCCCCCUUUUGAAUCCCUC